GGAAAAGUUCAGAAUCUUUGUAGUAAUUGUAGCUUGGACAUCCAUUAGGAGGCUGCCAGCAGACUUAACUGCAAACCUAAUUCGUGAUUUUAGGGGCUCUGGGAAGUCUCUGAUGCUCCCAAACCCAUUACCUUCCUGCUGGUAUGUGUCCAAAACCGUACUAUUAUAGAUUCAUGGCUUUGCACUGAGAUUCCUAUUUAAGAUCCUCUGGAGGAGAGACACUUGGCUAUUUUCUGCAAAGGACUUAAGCAUGCCUGGUACUGUGGAAAUUUAAAGAGUGAGUGAGCAUGUGGGAUCUUAGUCCCCCAACCAGGGAUUGAACCUGUGCCCCCUGCAGUGGAAGCGCAACGUCUUAACCACUGGACCGCCAGGGAAGUUUCCAAGUAGGGCCGGUGCUGCUUUUCUGGGAACCACACUGCAGCAAUGUUUUUGAAAAUGUUGGCCAACAAAUCUGCUUUAUCCUGCACCUUCCUGCUGCUGUCUCUUUGGUUAUACAACCUGCCUCCAGUCUCCCCUCACAUCCUGAGUCUGAAACUCUGGGUCCAUCUACAUUGCUCCCCAAAGCACCAGAGCUCCUGAGGCCAAUUCCCCGGCUGCAGUACGGCUGGGUCCACCUGGGAGGGCUGAGUCCCAGAGUUCCCGUCAACAGCCCCAACCUGGGGGCACUCUGCGCAGACACCGUGGGGACUGCUGCUGACCCACGUGGACUGAGACACUUCUGGGGCACCCUCGUGUUCACGGAUUCCAAAGAAAACGAAUUUUCACUGUGGGGCUGAGCACUGGGGGUGGCAGCGAGCACGGGGGCUGUGGAAGGUGCCUGGUGAAGGGGUCAGCUGCCUUUCCCCAGCAGGCCCCGGGGGCGCUGGACCCGUCCAUUCGAGAACCUCUGCAGCCCUGAUGUCCCCUCUCCCACCCACAGCAAUACAAAUCACGAGCCUCCCAAGUUUUCCGGCCGGUGCCACCUGGAAGCCCAUCCCUCAGACAGGACACCCUUCAAGACAUAAAGAGGAAGUGACAUCUGACACCCUCUGUGGAAACUCCAGGUCGUGGUCAGAGAGUGUGAGAGACACACUGAGAAGUAUGAGUGUUGCCAUCUGGAGUGUUUGCUCACGUGAGUGGAACAAUCCCAGGUGCCCAAACACCAGACAGAAUGGAAAAUUCUAUCUUAAAAAGAUAGAAUCUUAAAAAGGUCUUUCACUGUGAUUUUUCCAUGACGUGACCAGCUUUUCACUCAGUUGUUUUUCCCGGCAGAUGCCAGGUAGGUUUCGACAAAACCGGAAGUGUGGGGAGUGACACCCUAGGAAUUAGGACUUUCUCUUUCCUCUCCUCUUUAGGACACACUCUUGUUUCCACAGCAGGCAGCAUUAGCGGCGAGUCUGCCACUAUUUUCACCACUUUAGAACUAGCUCCUUCUCUGCUGGGGAUUUUCCACGGCGACAUAAAUCUCUAGGCCUCAUACUAGCAAAGUACACUAAUUGCUACCUCAGUUAGAGCAAGUGAACUCUGGAAAUUCCCACGGCCUUGGCCAAGACCUUAAUGGGGUGGGUUUUUUAAUGUUCUGGAUUCUCUUCUUUCCAUGCCAGCCAAAAGCAGGCUUCCCUGGCACAGCACAACACCCCUUCAAAAUAUAAACCCUCUGGAUUGGAGGCCUCUGUAAGCCUGCCUAUUUAGGCCCUGAACCUAGCAGGAGAAGAUGCAAUGCAUAAAAAUAAGCAGAGCAGGAAUGUCAUUUAUUAAGUGACGGCUGCCAGUGUUGGGGAAACUUCCGGUUAUCAGAUAUCUGAGAAUGAGGUCAGGUCUGGUCUCUCCAGCUCUUGUGAUCAGGACACUGACUCAGAACCAGAAAUCUGACCACUGGGCAGUGCCUGCCAGAGUAGGAAGAGUACAGCCAGGAAUCAAACUUGGACUCCAUGUCAGGUAUGGCCCUCCUAGCUGUGCGACCUCUCUGAGCCAUUAUUUCUUCAAAAUGGGGAUAAUGCACCUGCCUACCUAUUCUCAUGGGAUUAUAGGGAGAGGAAGAUAACAUAUUUAAAAGUGAUUUGAGGGACUUCCCUGGCGGUCCAGUGGUUAAAGACUUCGCCUUCCAAUGCAGGGGGUGCGGGUUCAAUCCCUGGUUGGGGAGCUAAGAUCCCACACGCCUUGUGGCCAAAAAACCAAAACAUAAAACGGAAGGAAUACUGUAACAAAUUCAAUAAAGACUUUAAAAAUGGUCCACAUUAAAAAAAAAAAAAAAAGUGAUUUGAAAGCCGUAAAGUGUUAUUCCAUGCAUAAAAUCUGGGCUUAUUGUGAAGGUUAAAUUAAAUGAGAACAUUCACACACACACACACACCACACAGAGGUGUUUAACAACCGGCUUUCUAGAAAGGGAAAUGCCAGUGAUUUUUAUCAUUUGCCAAUUUCCAUGGCGUAAAUAAUACCUCUAUGGCUGAUUUCAGAGUAUCAACGUGAUGUCACUGCAUAUCAAGUUGAGAAGAAAUGUGCAUAAUUGACUCCUGUGAGCUGAGCUGAGCCGCUCAAGCACACCACUGUUUACUUAUUUUACCCCCUCUUAUGUGAGGCCCUUAGCGCGGUGCCUGAAAAGAAGGGACCCCGACCUCCUCCUCCUCCUGGUCAUAUUCACUCACUAGGUAGGGAACUGGCAGACCAGUCCAGUCGCCGGAGUCAGAAACGUUGGCUGGUGUGUACUCUAAAGUUCUGGGGAGAUUCUCACACAGCCCGGAUUGGGAAAGCAGCAACUGGCUGCAACUCCUUGGGGGCUGGGACCACGUCCCACUUUUGUUUGUAUCCCCACUUCCAGAACAGGGCCUGACCCACUGGAUGCUUCCCUAAACGACGUGAUGGCAGCUCAUUAACUGUAGCUAAAAUGAUCCAGAAAGGGGUCAGACCCACAGAGAUGUGAGAGCAGAGGGCCCCUGCCUGCUGCAUUUGCACCGCUGGCAUUCUCGCUACUCCUCCACGUGCCGUCCCUGCUGACCUGUGCUGCUUCUUCAAGCGCCGCCCAUGAGCCCCCAAACCCACCACCCAUCCUGGUUCUGCUGCUUCCCCUCUGGGUCCUGUGGCGCCUGCGUCCACUUACUCCCCUGCUCCGAGUUUAGUUAUCCCCUCAGGACCCUCAGGUCCCAGGGCACCCUUCUUUCUCCCUGUACUGAGAGUCACAAGGCCAGAUGCUUUAAACUCAAGACAAGGAGUGGAGGCAGUGAGCGCAUGCGUGUCUGUCUCCGCUGCCUCCCCCGCCCCUCUGCCGCCCGGCUUGGCUUCUUCCAGCUCUGUCCCUAGGACAGCGUCCAUCCAGAACAGAACCUCAGUAAAUAUUACCUGAAUAAAGAGAAAUAAUUCAUGGGGACAGGACUACAGGAAGGGAGGAGAGGAAGGCAUUCCAGGUGAAUUAAUUACUGCAGGAAAGACCUAAAGUAAUUGGUGCUUCCUCGGCCUGAGUACAAUAGCAAAGGAAAAUUGAUUUUUAAGCCAAAAAUGUUCACAUCUCCAUCCAUCACUGAAGAUAUGUCCCACCCAUUUUUAUGUUCUCUCUCAACCCUGCAUGCCAACAUAAACUACCAACUCCUUUGGCUUUCUCAAGUAACCUGGAGAAAAAUGAGACGGAGUUCUCCAAGAAUGGAACAGAAAUUUCCACAUCACCUGUUUUAGGUACAAAUACAAUGGCCAAAUUUUCUCAACUCCAAUAGAAAAGGUAUAACUCUUGCACUUACCAGGAGAAGGGAACAGCCUACUUGUAACCAGGGUCACCGUAUAAAAAUCCAGCCUUGGGGCUUCCCUGGUGGUGCAGUGGUUGGGAAUCCGCCUGCCGGUGCGGGCGACACGGGUUCGAGCCCUGGUCCGGGAGGAUCCCACAUGCCGCGGAGCGACUGGGCCCGUGUGCCACAACUGCUGAGCCUGCGCUCUGGAGUCUGUGAGCCACAGCUACUGAGCCCGUGUGCUGCUGCUACUGAAGCCCAUGCACCCUAGAGCCCGUGCUCCGCGGCGGGAGAGGCCACCGCAAUGAGAAGACUACGCUGCAACGAGGAGUGGCCCCCGCUCGCCACAACUAGAGAGAGCCCGCACACAGCAACGGAGACCCAGUGUAGCCAAAAAUAAGUAAAUAAAAUAAAAAAAAAAUAAAAAAAAAAAAAAUCCAGCCUUGAAAGCUACAAUCAAUGGUCCUGAUGGCUGAGUUCCUGAUCUGAAAGUUAAAUGUUCUUACACACUCAGAACAUGUGUGACACCCUGCUUUAAAGAAAACAAGGGAGGGCUUCCCUGGUGGUGCAGUGGUUAAGAAUCCGCCUGCCAAUUCAGGGGACACGAGUUCGAGCCCUGGUCCGGGAAGAUCCCACAUGCCGCAGAGCAACAAAGCCCGUGAGCCACAACUACUGAGCCCGUGUGCCACAACUACUGAAGCCUGCACGCCUAGAGCCCGUGCUCCACAACGAGAGAAGCCACGACGAUUAGAAGCCUGCGCACCACAAGAAAGAGUAGCCCCAGCUCGCCAAAACUAGAGAAAGCCCACGUGCAGCAACGAAGACCCAACGCAGCCAAAAAUAAAUACAUAAAAUAAAAAUUUAAAAAAAAAGGAAAACAA